rnacentral:rRNA from 1 species
GACGAACGCUGGCGGCGUGCCUAAUACAUGCAAGUCGAGCGGAUGACGGAGGAGCUUGCUCCUCCUGAUUCAGCGGCGGACGGGUGAGUAACACGUGGGCAACCUGCCCUGUAGAUUGGGAUAACUCCGGGAAACCGGGGCUAAUACCGAAUAAUCCUUCGGACCUCAUGGUCCGAUGUUGAAAGACGGCAUCUUGCUGUCACUACAGGAUGGGCCCGCGGCGCAUUAGCUAGAUGGCGGGGUAACGGCCCACCAUGGCGACGAUCAGUAGCCGGUCUGAGAGGAUGAACGGCCACAUUGGGACUGAGAUACGGCCCAGACUCCUACGGGAGGCAGCAGUGGGGAAUAUUGGGCAAUGGGCGAAAGCCUGACCCAGCAACGCCGCGUGAAGGAAGAAGGCCUUCGGGUUGUAAACUUCUUUUACCAGGGACGAAUAAUGACGGUACCUGGAGAAAAAGCAACGGCUAACUACGUGCCAGCCGCCGCAGUAAGAC